GUGUUGAUAAGGUGCACUUGAAUCAACCCUGAAAUGUGUAAUUGAAUAUUGCUGAACAAUUAAGAAUUGUACAUACUUUGUAGACGAGAUAGUUUAUUUCUGUAGGAGAUAUUAGCCACACUUUCUGUUAUGUGAAUUGAGCUUAAUAUGGACAUAAACCUAGGCAUGAAAAAAAAUAAUCUAGAAAUUUACUUUUUUGUAAUGUCCUUAUGUCCUUAAAGGCUGACUCUGUUCAGAAUGACAGAGAGAGGUAUCAAGAUAUCAGACAUGUCCCUAUUUUUACAUUCAGAACAUAUGUUAUGAGGUUGAGUUUUAGAGUGAGUGAAAGCUGUCUGUUGUUAUGGAUGCAUGCUAUACCGAUGGAAGGUGAUACGGGAGCAGGUGUUUGGAGAAGUGAAACCAAAAGGGAGUAUGUAUAAAUCUAUGCACAUAAUGAUCAUAUUUUCAGAAAUUAAAAUGAAUAGGACGAACAUUGUAGAACAAUGUAUAUGUAUCUAUGCCCAUACCAAGUGGAUUUCACACACCUGACCUGCAGUGGAUAUGAUAUUUCCUUGUUUCUUCUAUGUAUUUUAACUCAGAAUUUCAAUGUGUUUGUUUUAAAACAGUAAUUUCUUCCAAUGUUCUUUUUUUGUGUGUGAGUGGACUUGAUAACCAUCUGUACAUUUUUGUCACAUGAAUUUACCCAGUACAACAUAAUAAAAUCGCCACUCACUUAAAUACUUGAAUAUAUUGAACAUAUUUAUUGAAACUUUUCAGCACUGUAAAUAGCCAUGUAUAUAACUUGUAUUUGAGAGGCCAACUUGUAGUAGUGAUUGGGGAUAUAUAAUGUUUCACAUAGCAUGCUAUGCUGCAUUUUAAGUGAAUUUUCGGAAUUGAUUUUCAUCUUUAUAAAAGUGAAUGGUGCACUUGAAUCAACCCUGAAAUGUGUAAUUGAAUAUUACUGAACAAUUAAGAAUUGUACAUAUUUUGUAGACAAGAUAGUUUAUUUCUGUAGAAGAUAUUAGCCACACUUUCUGUUAUGUGAAUUGAGCUUAAUAUGGACAUAUACCUAGGCAGGUACAAAAAUAAUCUAGAAAUUUACUUUUUUGUAAUGUCCUUAUGUCCUUAAAGGCUGACUCUGUUCAGAAUGACAGAGCGAGGUAUCAAGAUAUCAGACAUGUCCCUAUUUUUACAUUCAGAACAUAUGUUAUGAGGUUGAGUUUUAGAGUGAGUGAAAGCUGUCUGUUGUUAUGGAUGCAUGCUAUACCGAUGGAAGGUGAUACGGGAGCAGGUGUUUGGAGAAGUGAAACCAAAAGGGAGUAUGUAUAAAUCUAUGCACAUAAUGAUCAUAUUGUCAGAAAUUAAAAUGAGUAGGACAAACAUUGUAGUACAAUGUAUAUGUAUCUAUGCCCAUACCAAGUGGAUUUCACACACCUGUCCCUCAGUGGAUAUGAUAUUUCCUUGUUUCUUCUAUGUAUUUUAACUCAUGAUUUCAAUGUGUUUGUUUUAAAACAGUAAUUUCUUCCAAUGUUCUUUUUUUUUGUGUGAGUGGACUUGAUAACCAUCUGUACAUUUUUGUCACAUGAAUUUACCCAGUACAACAUAAUAAAAUCGCCACUCACUUAAAUACUUGAAUAUAUUGAACAUAUUUAUUGAAACUUUUCAGCACUGUAAAUAGCCAUGUAUAUAACUUGUAUUUGAGAGGCCAACUUGUAGUAGUGAUUGGGGAUAUAUAAUGUUUCACAUAGCAUGCUAUGCUGCAUUUUAAGUGAAUUUUCGGAAUUGAUUUUCAUCUUUAUAAAAGUGAAUGGUGCACUUGAAUCAACCCUGAAAUGUGUAAUUGAAUAUUACUGAACAAUUAAGAAUUGUACAUAUUUUGUAGACAAGAUAGUUUAUUUCUGUAGAAGAUAUUAGCCACACUUUCUGUUAUGUGAAUUGAGCUUAAUAUGGACAUAAACCUAGGCAGGUAAAAAAAUAAUCUAGAAAUUUACUUUUUUGUAAUGUCCUUACGUCCUUAAAGGCUGACUCUGUUCAGAAUGACAAAGAGAGGUAUCAAGAUAUCAGACAUGUCCCUAUUUUUACAUUCAGAACAUAUGUUAUGAGGUUGAGUUUUAGAGUGAGUGAAAGCUGUCUGUUGUUAUGGAUGCAUGCUAUACCGAUGGAAGGUGAUACGGGAGCAGGUGUUUGGAGAAGUGAAACCAAAAGGGAGUAUGUAUAAAUCUAUGCACAUAAUGAUCAUAUUGUCAGAAAUUAAAAUGAGUAGGACAAACAUUGUAGUACAAUGUAUAUGUAUCUAUGCCCAUACCAAGUGGAUUUCACACACCUGACCUGCAGUGGAUAUGAUAUUUCCUUGUUUCUUCUAUGUAUUUUAACUCAUGAUUUCAAUGUGUUUGUUUUAAAACAGUAAUUUCUUCCAAUGUUCUUUUUUUGUGUGUGAGUGGACUUGAUAACCAUCUGUACAUUUCUGUCACAUGAAUUUACCCAGUACAACAUAAUAAAAUCGCCACUCACUUAAAUAUUUGAAUAUAUUGAACAUAUUUAUUGAAACUUUUCAGCACUGUAAAUAGCCAUGUAUAUAACUUGUAUUUGAGAGGCCAACUUGUAGUAGUGAUUGGGGAUAUAUAAUGUUUCACAUAGCAUGCUAUGCUGCAUUUUAAGUGAAUUUUCGGAAUUGAUUUUCAUCUUUAUAAAAGUGAAUGGUGCACUUGAAUCAACCCUGAAAUGUGUAAUUGAAUAUUACUGAACAAUUAAGAAUUGUACAUAUUUUGUAGACAAGAUAGUUUAUUUCUGUAGAAGAUAUUAGCCACACUUUCUGUUAUGUGAAUUGAGCUUAAUAUGGACAUAUACCUAGGCAGGUACAAAAAUAAUCUAGAAAUUUACUUUUUUGUAAUGUCCUUAUGUCCUUAAAGGCUGACUCUGUUCAGAAUGACAGAGAGAGGUAUCAAGAUAUCAGACAUGUCCCUAUUUUUACAUUCAGAACAUAUGUUAUGAGGUUGAGUUUUAGAGUGAGUGAAAGCUGUCUGUUGUUAUGGAUGCAUGCUAUACCGAUGGAAGGUGAUACGGGAGCAGGUGUUUGGAGAAGUGUAUAGAAUGAAAGUGUGUAGGCCUUGUUAACAUGGGAAUGCUGGGCAUUUUGGACACUGUCCCUACUGCCCUUAAAUCUCUCCAAUUAGUAUGAAAGUACUGUAAUGUAUUAUGAGUGCUACAAACCCUGUAUUUUGUUGCAUUGGUGAGGAUGCCAGAGUAUUAUAUUUUUGUUCAAAUUCUGAUGAA